GUGGAGACUUGUAGUCUACCUUCGGGGAAGGAGAGUAGUAUGGUGGAGGUGGUGGGGAGCUGUAGACAUAAGGCGGUGGUGGAGAUUUGUAUUCGACCUUCGGGGAAGGAGAGUAGUAUGACGGAGGUGGUGGGGAACUGUAGAUAUAUGGUUUUGGAUGUGGUGUAUAUUUAGGGCCUUGUCUUCUAUAUUGUGGUGGAGGAGAUGGUGGUGCCGAGUAAUAUGGGGAAUUCUUUUUGGGUGGAUAUGGUGAUUUGGUUUUAUGGACUGGGGGAUAUUUCUGAGUUGUUGGGGGAGAUUCAUAAGGGUAAGCUGCAGCUACGAUGGCGCUAAAGACCACAACAUAAACCAUGCAAUGCCCUAAUCCCAUAAUUUUUGGGGAUCUCAUUCUACCCGUAGCUGCUCUUUUUAGUUUCUCUUCUUUGUUAUGAUAUAGUUCAACGUGAAGUCCCUUGAUAUAUAGUCGCUUUUUGUGUAAAGUUUAUAUUAUUCUCCCCACUUGGUUUCGUGUGUGGCACUUCCAACACAUUUAGACGACGUGCUUAAGUUGUUUAUUUUAAGAUGGUGAUUUGUUGAGCAUAAGAAAUGGUCCAGAUUCUUUGGCAACUUUCUAUUGUUUUAAGAAAUUUGUUUGCUUAUUUUUUAUUUAGGUCCCAAGAUUAGUGAAAAUGAACAAAGUGCAUAACUGGUGAUAAUUUUAGACACAAGUAAAAAUAAUAAUUUGUUUAUCAAAUGAAUGUGGGGAAAGCGAAGAUUAUUCCAUUAUUACCAGUAACUUUUUAUCAUAAAAUCAAAAACUUUUACAUAUUUUUGUGAAUGUUAUAACACAAACUAUAAAUAAAAAACUUGAAGUCAUGGGAACAUCUCCGGCUACACUUCUGUUUUUAUGAACAUUUUGACGAGUAUGUUCCAUGUCUAGUUUUUUUUUUUUGAAAAAAUGUUCCAUGUCUAGUUGUAUUCAGUCGAUUGUUUGGUUGCUUUUAUAUCAUCAGCACUCUCCAUAUGGAUUCCUCAUCUGGCUUUUAUCUACCAGUAACAGUUUUAAAUAGAUCAUAUAUAAUACACAUAUAUGUAAAACGUACAUGCAUGUUGUUUUCCUAAAGGAAGUGAUCGAUAAAAACUAUUCUUAUUAAUUGUUUAAAUCCUAAGAGAAACAAAAUUUUCGUUUAUCAUUCAUGUAUGUUAGACACAAAUUCAUAUACUAUAUGUGGACAAAUAGUCAUAUCGAUACAUACAAUUUACCAACGUGGUUUCAUACAUGAUCUAGGGUUUAUCCUUAUUAUUUGUACUUUAUUAUUUUCAGAUGAAAAAUAAUUAUUUACACUUCAUAUAAUUUUUUAUUCUUGCAGUCUAAAGAUGAAUGAAUAAUGCUGGCAGCAAAUGGUGGUGAAUCAUUUUAGUAAUUUAGACCGACCAAAAUAAAUACAUGCAUCAUCUCAUUAAAACUCAUUAGCGCGUCCUUUAGAAUUUUAUAUCACAAAUUGGCAAUGUCUAUGGGAUGCUCUUCGCUUGUGUUCAUUCAUAUAUACCCUCAAUAUUACUAAACCUAACUAAUCCAUCUUCAAUAGGCGCACUGGAAAUCCAUAGUUACUCCUAGACGCAAAAACAAAGAUGUAACAUAUCACAUUUACCAUGUAAUUAAUUAUAUUCUAAUAUGAGCUAUGCACCUGAAAUUGUACUACAGUGAAAAGUCUAUAUACUAAUAAUGGUGGGACUAUAAUAUUUUAUUAAUUUGCAGACUUAUUAAUUUAGAAAAAAUCUAUUUUUUAAAGAUUUUUUUAUAUUAAAAUUUUAAAAUAAGAAAAUAUUUGAUUGUAUUAAUUAAAAUUUUUGAAAUGGUAUUUUCGUAUAGCUUUUACGUAUAUAAAAUAUGUUUCAAAGAUUUUAAUUUUCAUUUUAGAUAUAAAUUAACUAAAGAUCAUCAAAAUAUAUUGAAAUCAACAAAUUGUAUUUUAUCACAAUGUCUUUUUAUUGUGAAAAACAAAGAGAUACGCCUAGUUUUUUUUUGUUGUUAAAAUGUGAAAUUUAUUGAUCAAUGAAUAAUAUUAGGAAUUUACAAUAGGUUAUGAGAGGCUAUAAGAACUAUAAAAGAAAAAAAUAUACAAUGAAUGUAAAAAAUAAAUUUCAAGAUCAUGUGAGCUAAGCCGUAACUUCGAACCACCGACACAUCAAGCCUGUAAACUUGUGGUCAGUCUUAUAUCGAAGAGAAGUAAUCCUAUUUUGCAUAGCCUUAUUAAUGAUCCGAACCACAUGUUCCACUGUCCGAAACCCCGUUUGGUGUCUUCUCUCAUUCCUCUCUUUCCAAAGAUUCACCUACUUACAAAACAGUCGUAGCUAAAUAUAAAAAUAAAGUCGAUUUUUAUCGACAAAGUUAAAUUUCAGGAAAUUGUUACAUUUUCAACAAAUAAUUUAUAAACCGAGGGAUUCCAAAUAUUAGUAUUGUUAAUAUUUCCUCCAAUAUCUACCGUCCUUGAAAUUUAUUGGGUAGUCGGCUACCAAUCCGACCAUAUUUAAUUGUGUAAUUGAGGCUAUAUAUUUUGGUUAGAUAAAAAGCAUUCAGAAUAAACAACAACAUCAGUUAGUGAGGCGUAAAAAAGAUCUAUAAAAUUCUAAUACACAUAUAUGGGUUUUGGAUUUAAUAUGCACUACAAUAGAAUUAUGUCAAGAAUGUUUUAUUUCAAUUCAGCUUAAUUACUCAAAAUUAUCUUGUUGGUGCACAGAUUAUUUCACUAAAAAUAAAACUACAAGCAUACAUCAACAAUUUUUCAAUGUUUCACCAAUAUGAAACUAAUGAACAGAAUUCCAUAUAAAAAUGACUAAAUUUAAUUUAAAUGCAAAUUAUUGGAUAGGAAAAUGUAAUUAUUUCAAAUUUAGAGUGAGUUUGAACAACAUCUACCAAUAAAUAGGUGCAUCCAAAAAGUAGCCAAAUUUUAGUGGUAUUAUAAAACCAUAAAAUAGAGGAGGCAACAACAACGGAAAAUCAAAAGACAAUUUCAUCAAAAAAAACAAUAGCAAUGAAUCAUGUUGCUUGUUAAAGAAACAAUUUAAAAAUUAGUAGUAGGGCAUUUUGUAGACAUAUGGUGGAGGUGGUGGAGACUUGUAGGAAACUUUUGGGGAAGGCGAGUAGUAUGGUGGGGAGCUGUAGACAUAUGGCGGUGGUGGAGACUUGUAGUCAACCUUUGGCGAAGGAGAGUAGUAUGGUGGAGGUGGUGGGGAGCUGUAGACGUAUGGAGGUGGUGGAGAUUUGUACUCUUCUUUUGGGGAAGGAGAGUAGUAUGGUGGAGGUGGUGGGGAGUUGUAAACGUAUGGAGGUGGUGGAGACUUGUACUCUACCUUCGGAGAAGGAGAGUAGUAUGGCGGAGGUGGUGGGGAGCUGUAGACGUAAGACGGUGGUGGAGAUUUGUAUUCGACCUUUGGGGAAGGAGAGUAGUAUGGUGGAGGUGGUGGAGAGCUGUAAACGUAUGGUGGUGGUGGAGACUUGUAGUCUACCUUCGGGGAAGGAGAGUAGUAUGGUGGAGGUGGUGGGGAGCUGUAGACGUAUGGAGGUGGUGGAGAUUUGUACUCUACUUUUGGUGAAGGAGAGUAGUAUGGUGGAGGUGGUGGGGAGUUGUAAACGUAUGGAGGUGGUGGAGACUUGUACUCUACCUUCGGAGAAGGAGAGUAGUAUGGUGGAGGUGGUGGGGAGCUGUAGACGUAUGGAGGUGGUGGAGACUGCAGCUACGAUGGCGCUAAAGACCACAACAUAAACCAUGCAAUGCCCUAAUCCCAUAAUUUUUGGGAAUCUCAUUCUACCCGUAGCUGCUCUUUUUAGUUUCUCUUCUUUGUUAUGAUAUAGUUCAACGUGAAGUCCAUUGAUAUAUAGUCGCUUUUUGUGUAAAGUUUAUAUUAUUCUCCCGACCUGGGUUCGUGUGUGGCACUUCCAACACAUAUGGACGACGUGCUUAAGUUGUUUAUUUUAAGAUGGUGACGUGUUGAGCAUAAGAAAUGUUCCAGAUUCUUUGGCAAUUUCCUAUUAUUUUAAGAAAUUUGUUUGCUUAUUUUUUAUUUAGGUCCCAAGAUUAGUGAAAAUGAACAAAGUGCUAAACUGGUGAUUACUUUAGCCACAAGUAAAAAAAAAC
rnacentral:lncRNA from 1 species